rnacentral:lncRNA from 1 species
CGUUCCAUGUGCUCCGUAUCAACAAGAUGCUUUCGUGCGCCGGGGCUGAUAGGCUCCAGACUGGUAUGAGGGGUGCUUUUGGGAAGCCGCAGGGAGUCUGUGCCCGUGUUGCCAUUGGGCAGGUCCUCCUUUCUGUGCGGUGCAAGCCCAACAAUGCCAUCCAUGCCACUGAGGCCCUUCGUCGUGCCAAGUUCAAGUUCCCUGGCCGCCAAAAGAUCAUUGAGAGCAGGAAGUGGUAAGCACUGAAGAUUGUUUAAUGUGCUGAGAUGAUAUGAUAUUCUUGUUGAAAUUUCUGUGCCGCAAUAUCUCUAAUUUGUGCUUCUUCUUUCAGGGGCUUCACCAAGUUCAACCGCAAUGACUACCUCAAGUUCAAGAGUGAGGGCAGGAUCUUGCCUGAUGGAGUCAACGCGAAGGUUAAUAUACUUGAUGCUGGGCAAUUGUUUUGUAGAUGAUCUUCUUUAUCCUGCCUUAGUAAACCGUUGUCCCUGCAUCAACUAAUUGUUUCAUGUUUCUUACUUUGCAGCUGCUCGGAUGCCAUGGCCGCCUGGCGAACCGUGCCCCUGGACAAGCUUUCCUGUCUGCCGCAUAAUCUAGCAGAAGUCUCCGUUCUAUCGCAACUUAUUUUACCGUGUGGAACUUAGAUUCCAAGUGCCUGUGGUGCUAUGUUAUUUUGUCUGAAUGUUGUGUCGAACCUUGUUAUGGAAGAUAUUAUCUAUUUUGUGAUGAUGGUACUAAUAUGAAUGGCCUGUUGAAUCAUUGCUGCUUGAAUUCGUUUGUCAAUGUAUUUUGCUGUGGUUGUUGUCCUGUGGUUGAAUUUGAUGCUUCAUUUGAUGAAGCUACAUAAGGAAAAUGUUACUCGUUCUUCACACGGUUUGAAACAUUCUGUAAAGAGUUGAGCAAAAUUCGGGCCGUGGCACCUUUCAGUAAUAUUGUUGAAG